rnacentral:lncRNA from 1 species
UUGAAAACCUCCAAAUUAAACGAAAAACGAACACACGUAAUGAGAAUGACCAAGCAAUUUACUCUGACUAGACUAGAGACAGAGACUAGAUUCUAACCUCAAUAAACAACGCUGAAUGGUGGCUCGAUCGCUCCCGAAUAUGUCGAAGGCUGGCGGCAACUUUAAAUUCACGCACUGAAUAAAUUGACGUAAAACCAUAGGCGUAGCUAGGGGGGUCCUGGGGGGGGCCUGGCCCCCCCCAGAAAUCUCGUGGCCCCCCCCAGAAAAACGGAUUCCUCCAUUCCUCACCCCCUCCCCCGCUCUCUUCACCACGAGAGGUGGUCCCAUGGCCCCCCCCCAGAGAAAUUUCCUAGCUACGCCCCUGCGUAAAACAUUAUAAUUUUCUGCGAAUUUGCACGGGGCCGUCUCAAUUUUAAUCCGAUGGUGACCUAUUCUAUUCAACUCAAUCACGAUGAUGAUUUGAACUGCACUGGCGAGGCAUCAGAACAGAAACUACCCUCUUGGUUCACCGGUCGGAGGGCGGUGAAUCGAACCGUUGGAAAUCCCUGUCUCAAAAGGGCUGGACACACGUUCAAAGUGGAGCUUCAAAGUGGUAAACGUUUAGCCAAGAGUUGACUGGUGACGUGGCCCUUGAUGUGUUCACUUUGUAGCGGUUUUACACGACUUUGAAGACUUAACCAUAAAAUUUCAUGUAAACAAACAUUAAAAGUAAACAAAGAUCGUGCUGAAGCAGUUUGAUUUUAUUAUUAAAAUGGAUAUAGACCGUGAUAAUUUUGCUAAAAAAGCUGUAGUGGUUGUUGCGGCUGUGGGAGCGGCGUUUUUGGCUUAUCGUCGAAGAAGAAGGAGACAUCCGCGCAGAUUCUGGAUGAGGUAUUGGUUCUUAAGGCGAGAUACCGAAGCGAAAGGCCUCCUCAAUGAAAUUGAGAGAGAACUGAGUAUGGAGGAUAAAGAAUAUUACCACAAGUACUUCAGGAUGGACGACAAACAUUUUGAUAUGAUUCUUAAUCACAUAAUUGACGACAUUCAGAAAAAUGACACAGUCAUGCGGCCGUGUAUUGAUGCGAAGAAAAGGUUGGCUAUAGCUCUACGCUACCUUGCAACUGGAGAAACUUUCCAAAGCCUCAGUAUCUCAACCCGAAUAUCAGUGCCCUCCAUCCGCAACAUUGUAACCACUACCUUGGUUGCAAUCAAGAAUCGACUAGGACCUAUUACUUACAGGUAAUUGAUCGCUGGAUGCUUUAUCACCCCUCCAUAAGUUUAGUGGUAUCUGAACAUAAAAUUUUGCAUAAAAGAGUAAGAAAUUUUAAUUUAAUGCCUCCAGAAUUGAAGAAAUCAGUUUUAGAUAGUGCUCUUUUUGCAAAAACAAAAUUAUUCAAUCCGAAUAUUAUCCAUACUUGCAUUAUUUGGUAUUUAAUUCUAAAGGUCAAAGGAAUAAGAGGCAACUCAAACUUAAGUUAGAAUACAAGUCUCUAUUCAUAAUUUAUUUUGUGAAGGGAAAAACCUUGCGAAACUGCAGGAUAAGUUUACUGGUAUUUUUUUCCAUGGAAAAAGUAGAAGUAGCUUAAAUUUGUUGCCAAAUAUUGUGGUUAGGUUCUCCCAUUAAGGAAUAUAACGUAGUUGUAGUCAUUGAAGUAAUGCAAUCGGGUUACAUCCCUAGAUGCAGAGGACUUUUUACUCUGCACUUUUUGGAAGGAAGACUUUAGAAUUUCUUUUCUCUUUUUAGGUGCCUUCAACAACAGCUCAUUGGGAACAAAUUGCAGCUGAAUUCUACGAAGAGUAUGGUUUUCCCAACUGUAUCGGCGCAUUAGACGGGAAACAUGUGGCCUUUCGGCCAUCGAAAGAAGAUGGGGCACAUUAUUACAACUAUAAAUGUUUUAAUAGCCUUAUUCUCUUAGCAUUAGUGGAUGCAAAAAAAAAAUUCCUUAUCGUGGAUAUUGGAGCCAAUGGCAGGGCUAGCGAUGGAGGGGUGUACGCUGCCAGUGGCAUUAAAAGAAUUCUGGAGGGAAACCGUUGCAAUCUACCCCCGCGCAGACCCUUACCGGGUCGUGUUGUUCCCAUGCCAUAUGUGGCAAUAGCAGAUAGCGCUUUCCCUCUAGGGAUGCGUUUAAUGAAACCCUACGAUUAUCAUAGUCCUACACCAUUGCAAAAGUUGUUCAACAAAUCCUUAUCAAAAGCACGGUGUGUCGUUGAAAAUGCAUUUGGUAUCCUAGCAAACAGAAUGCAAAUAUUUUUGUCAACCAUUAGUUCCAACAAUCCAGACUAUGUGGAGCUAGUCAUUUGGGCAUCUUGCAUUCUCCAUAAUUUUAUGAUGGACAAAGCCCCACAAACUUAUGGUGUCUUAGAUCCAGAAGAUGUAGUUAAUUUACUGGAUUAUGAAUUUCGUGCACUCGCCAGAAUGGAUACUGGAACUAACAUACGUUUAGAGUUUGUGAGAUUUUUCGGCGCUCUCUCUUAAUUUUUUGUUUUGUUUGUUUUUUGUCUAAAAAUAUGUUACCUGUGCCUUUUGUAUUCAUUUAAAAUUUUACAGACAAUGGAAAAAGAGAAAAAUGUUUUUUCCUGUCAAAUUUCCUGUCAGUUCAAAAAUUAACGCAGCAAGAUAAGAUUUGGACAAUCAGGAUUUAUACGAAAAUUGCUUUUUUCAAAGGCAGUUGAAAACGCUAUUUUCUUCUACUUACAUUGUUAGCACCAAAAAUAUUGAUUAAAAAUUGUAUUUAUUUUCUGUGACAGCCUCCAUAGUUCAUAUCAACUCAGUAUUACUUUAUGUUUUAGCUUUUUACCUUUGUUAUACUAUAUUUAUUUUUUAUUCUUCAGCUGAAUGCUUUCAUAAUAAUGUAUUUACACAAAAUUUGAUCGCUUACUUUGAAUAAAAUCAAGAAAAUGUGAUUUGGUAACUUCAGUUCACCAACUUUGAUUUCUUUACUUUGAAGUUAUC